UAAGGAGAACCCGCUGUGACAGCUGUAAAGGUCAUACAACCACAGUUUGGCAGAGAUUUCCAAAGACUUCGAAGACUUCCAAAAUAGAUACAUGACUGAGUUCAGAAUUGUGCCAUCUGUAAUUCAAAAAUAAAAAAAAAAUGAGUGAUGGAUUUGGAAUUGGAAAACGUGGUUUCUUACCUUACCCUUGCUAUAUACUAUCAACAUCAUUUGGAGAUGGAUUCCUGUUCUUCACUAUCCCGAGAAGAAAAUCAAGGCCAGCUCCCUGGAAAUGAACAGUCUUCCCUUUGUGGGCCUCCACAAGGUUUAUAUGAAAUUUUACACAAUACAGAAAUAAUAGAGCAGUGUUUAGUGUUCCCUUCCUACAGCUGGAUUCUUCACAUUAGGAAUCAGACAGCAGGUUCCACCUUUCAGCAGAGAUGCCAAGGUUUUAUCUUGCAUACAAGAAUUCAGAACAGAAAGAGCUCCUAUUGAAAUACUUUUUUUUUCUUUUUGAAAAUACACCAUAAGCUAAAUUUACUGAAAUAAACAAUCUCUGCAAUUCA
rnacentral:lncRNA from 1 species